rnacentral:piRNA from 1 species
CUGGAAGAGACAAACUUAACAAGGAGGU